GAAAUGCGAUAAGUAGUGUGAAUUGCAGAAUUUAGUAAAUCAUCAAAUCUUUAAACGCACAUUGCGCCCUUUAGUAUUUCUUAGGGCAUGCCUGUUCGAGCGUUAUCUAAACCUUUAAGCACUGCUUAGUGUUAGGUGCCUGUCCUGCCCCCGCGCGUAGACUCACCUUAAAUCUAUUGGCGGCCCUUACGUCGGCUUUGAGCGCAGUAGAAACGCGAACUCGACGCCUGUUGGAGCGGCUCCUAGAAGCUACAUUUACUAUUUUGACCUUAGAUUAGGUAGGGAUACCCGCUGAACUUAA
rnacentral:misc_RNA from 1 species